rnacentral:rRNA from 1 species
UACGUAGGGGGCAAGCGUUGUCCGGAAUCAUUGGGCGUAAAGCGCGUGUAGGCGGUUCAGUAAGUCUGCUGUGAAAGUCCAGGGCUCAACCCUGGGAUGCCGGUGGAUACUGCUGGGCUAGAGUACGGAAGAGGCGAGUGGAAUUCCCGGUGUAGCGGUGAAAUGCGCAGAUAUCGGGAGGAACACCAAUUGCGAAGGCAGCUCGCUGGGACGUUACGUGACGCUGAGACGCGAAAGCGUGGGGAGCAAACAGGG